CUCCCUCCUCCAGCACAGCCAAUCUUCAUGCACACUGGCUGUACGCUCCUCCCAGCUCCCUCCAGAUGUUCCCAGGACAAGAGCUAAGUCUGCCCGGCCCGCGCGCGCCGCUUCCGCCCGUGUGGGGAGGGCUUCCCUUCCCCCACUGGAGAAACAAUCUCCGCAGCCCGACCUGUAACUCAGGGAUUGGAUGAGUCUCUACGGUAUUUUUUGCCCUGAAGAGCAGGAGGCUUCGGUCCCAACUAGUAUUGCCAAAGCAGCAUACUAAUUCCAUGCCAUGAUCCUGGGUCAAGAUCUGUACAAUCUGAUUGGCCAUGUCACCUCGGAUGGCAAGUGAGCGGAAGUGGUCAAAAUCAUGGAGUCCCAGCUUUCGGAGACGUCUUGCAGCUGCCCGGUAACACUUCCAAGGCUGAGGCUCCACAAGGAGGUAGCGGCAGAGAGAGGAAAGAUGGGCUAAGAAUUCCCACAAGCCUUGGUCCCCAUGAUUCAGAUGAAUCCACAUAGUUACUGACAUGCAGAAACCAAUGUCAAAAACUAAACAUCCAAAUUGGCUUAAGAAAGAGCUCAAGAGAACCUUCCGGGUCCUUUGAUUCAUGAAGUCCAGGGUGAUAAAGGUCAAGGCAUCAGGAAAAGGACAUUCUUUUUCAGCUCGUUCCACCAGGACUGGAUCUAUGUCACAGCAGAGGAAACGCAGUUCUCUGGAGGCAUCUGAGCAGGUCUCCCCGUCAUCUAGGGAAAGGAAGUGUUUGUAUAGAGCCACACUCAGAUCCUAGAGGAAUCCAAAAGAGCUCUGUCAUUGCAGUUCUCAACCAGUGAAUGGAAGCGAAAGCUAUCUCAGCUUCUCUAAGUCUGCCACUUCACCUUUGACUUUAUAGGAUGUGAACUCCUAAACUAUAAGCAGAGGGAGAUUCUCGGCGCCCUCCAGGGGCCACAGGCUAUAAUGCAUCAUCCCUACAUUUCCCAGACUCAGCAAAGAUGCCUCUGACACUAUUUUCCUAUGUAAGUAAUAUUCUGGUAAAUUCAUCCUUUUCUGGAUACCUAAGGCCCAAGGAAGAGGGAAAGGGAUCCAGAAGCAUGAUAAGUAUCCCUCAACAGGUAGGUGAGGAAUUUUACACCUUCACCAUAUGAAAACCUGUUUCUCAGCCUGUGUUUGGGAAAGUCUGUAUUCCAAAAAGUUUUCAAUCAGCUACCAUUCUAUUGCUUUCAAUUUUAUUAUCUUAUAUUUUACCAACUCCUUCUGAGACAUUCUCUACUUCUGUAGCUAUUGCUCAUAAGGGCCACUGGUUAAAUUCUUUCUAGCCAAA